AGACUCGUCACAGUAAGUGGUGAAAGUACCCACUGUUGUGAUACUACAUUCUCUCUAAAGUAACGUAUUUCUAGCUUUGUGAAUGUGGGGUAAUUGUGAUGUAUUAAGUUUGAUAGCACCGAAGGAUACAUAGAAGCAAAGCCUGCAGACUGCCAGUCGGGGAAAAACAUCAUGAUCGGUUUCAAAUAUUCGACGAUGAGCGUAGGCAAGUGGAUCCCUCGAAUUGCACAAGCGCUUUCAACGAUGCCAUCUGCCAGGCUGAUGAGUACAAAAGACAUCAAAUGGCUAUGGCCAGCGAAUUGCGAUAUCGAGGACUUGCACAAAGCGAAUUUCUCUGGCACGAGAGUCGGGUCAUGUGUGGCAACACUGAACAGUGCCAGGCCCUUGGAGGAAGACGAUUUUCUCAGGACACUGAGACUCCUUAUGAAGUAAGUUAUGGGAACAUUCAUUCUCUUUUGACA